rnacentral:lncRNA from 10 species
CCACUUUCUAUUAUGAAUAAUGCUGCUAUGAACAUUCAUGUACAUAUAUAAAUGCUUGUUUUCAUUUCUCUUGGGUAUAAAUUUAGGAGUGGAAUUGCUAAGUCACAUGGUAACUCUAUAUUUAAUCUUUGAAGUAAAUUCCAGUCUGUUUUCCAAAGAGGCUGCACCAUUUUAUACUCCCACCAGCAGUGUGUGAAGGUUCCAAUUUUUCCACAUCUUUGUCAACUUUUUAUUAAUUUUUAUUAAAUACUAUAAGGAGCUUCAUCAUUGGAGGGUGUUUUCCAAGGAGUUCUCUAAAUUUGAUCUUUGCUGAGAAGUGAUUUCUUAAUUUUAGCAAAUCCUGUUGUCUUGAUGAGAUUAUCUCCAAAACCAUGAAGCCCUGGAUCCUUUUUGUUUAAUGGUCUUUCCUAUAGUUUUUAAUCUCUCCUUAUAUGUUACCAUAAUCAAGAAGCCAGAUGGCACCUGCAACACUCGGUCAGGAAAUCUCUCUAGUGAGAUCAUAUUAGGCACAUGUUUUACUUUCAGUCUGCCACUACGUAAGUUCUUCCUUCCUCCAGUUUUCCAAUAACAUUUACCUCACUCUUCUAGAAGUCCUCAUCUACAGCCUUGUCAGACAUGAUGCUGCUAUAGUUUCUUCAAAGCACUUGAGGUUUUUACCAGCGCAUGAGGUUACAGGCAAGUAGUUGGCUGUGGCUGCAGUCCUAUUUGAAGGCUCAGGCAAGAGAGGAUCCACUUCUAAGCUCACUCACAUGGUUGCUAGAAGGCCAAAGUUUGUUGCUGGCUGUGGGCCAUGGGCUUCAGUUACUUACUACAUGGAACUCUCCACAGGCCGUGUCCUCACGAUAAGGCAACUGGUUUCUGAAAGGACAAGUGAUUCAAGAGAGCACAUGCCUAUGCAGAAGCCACAGUCUUCUCAUAACCAAAUAUUUUAAGUGACAUCACAUCACUUCUAUCAUAUUCUAUUUAUUAGAAGUGAGUCAAAUUACUAUUUUCCUGCUGAAAAAUUUGACAUUUCCAUCAAUUUCUGGAAUGGUCACUUUCUGAAACAGUGUUAUAAUAUCUAAAGUCUUUGUCUCAUAAUUCCAACAUCUGUGUCAUCUUGGGGUUAGUGUCUGUUGUCUUUGAAUUGUUGAAAAUUUCCUGACUCAUGUAUUUCACGUGAUUCUGCAUUGCAUCUUGGACAUUUUGAAUAUUACGAGCCUCUGGGUAUUUAAUUCUUCCAGAAAAUGUUAGGGUAUUUUUUCCAGCAGGCAAUUUAACUGGCUAAGUCUUGGUGACCAGUUCCAAUCCAUCUCCUGUGGGCUGUGGUUCUAAUGUCAGUCCAGUUUUCUAAGUAUUCUCAGUGCUAUUUGGAUCUUUGCCCAGUGUCAGACCCAAACAAUUAUCGGGUCAGACCUAUAUAUGUAUAGACCAGGGGAGAGCCCCAGAUUGCAUAAACAACUGUUAUGAAAUCACUUUCUUGACCUUCCUUAUCUUUGUCACCACCUUGACACCUUCCACCUCUCAGGAGCCACUUCCUCUUCCUGAUCUUCAGGUUAGAAAUCCAAGGGUUUAGGUUCUCCUCUCUGCUACACACCUCAUGGAUACAUCACCUCCAGGUCCAAGUAGCAGGAAGAUAGAUAGGGAAGAAAAGCAAUGGGGAGUCUCCUAACCCUUUUUGGCUCACAAAUCCUCUGCCCAGAGUGAAGGGUUCCUAACUCUGAGGUUUAGAUGCCUGCUCAGCCAUCUCUGUCCUCACCACAGGAAUGCCCAGGAGCGCCACAAUGAUCUUGUUUCAAAUUCUAGUUUCCUUCCCAAAUCUGCCUGUUGUUAUCAAUCAUUACUUUUGAGGGUCCCCAGACAGCUGCUCCAUGCCUUAGUUACAUUUAGCAUGAGAGAUAAAGUGGAACAUGCUCAUUCCAUUUAAAGGAGAACUGGUACCACCUAGUUACUUUAUUGCCAAUGAUUACAUCCCUGGAGGAUAAACUCUCAAACAGG